rnacentral:rRNA from 1 species
UACGUAGGGUGCGAGCGUUGUCCGGAUUUAUUGGGCGUAAAGAGCUCGUAGGCGGCCAACUAAGUCAGACGUGAAAUCCCUCGGCUUAACCGGGGAACUGCGUCUGAUACUGGAUGGCUUGAAUCCGGGAGAGGGAUGCGGAAUUCCAGGUGUAGCGGUGAAAUGCGUAGAUAUCUGGAGGAACACCGGUGGCGAAGGCGGCAUCCUGGACCGGCAUUGACGCUGAGGAGCGAAAGCCAGGGGAGCAAACGGG